GCGCGCAGGCGGCCGGUUACCGCUACUGGUCGUUCUGGGAGAGCGACGGCGGGAAGAACUGGACGUACGCCACCCAGGGGCCCUCCCUGGUCCGCCCA
rnacentral:tRNA from 1 species